GAUGAACGCUGGCGGCGUGCCUAAUACAUGCAAGUCGAGCGAACGGACGAGAAUCUUGCUUCUCUUAUGUUAGCGGCGGACGGGUGAGUAACACGUGGAUAACCGACCUAUAAGACUGGGAUAACUUCGGGAAACCUUAGCUAAUACCGGAUAAUAUUUUGAACCGCAUGGUUCAAAAGUGCAAGACGUUCUUGCUGUCACUUAUAGAUGGAUCCUCGCUGCAUUAGCUAGUUGGUAAGGUAACGGCUUACCAAGGCAACGCUGCGUAGCCGAUCUGAGAGGAUGAGCAGUAACACUGGAACGGAGACACGGUCAAGACUCCUACGGGAAGAAGCAGUGGGGAAGAUUGGACAAUGGGAGAAAGCCUGAACAAGACAUGCAGCGUGAAUGAAGAAGGUAUUCGGAUAGAAAAAGACUUUAAGUUGGGAGGAAGGUCAGUAAGUUAAUACCUGGAAGUGUGGACGUUACCAACGGAAUAAGCAGCGGAUAAGUUGGUG
rnacentral:rRNA from 1 species